AGCUACUGUAAAUCAUAGUGCAGGGAACAGUCAGAGUACACAGGGAAAGGCUCUAACUGAUGAGACUGAAGAAAUCCCACCUAUCUUAGUGUUGUUAAUAUUGGAAGGGAAAGAGAGACCAUGGAAGAGGUAGGGUAAGACAGACAGUGGAGUCCUCAUCAGGGCCCCUCCUUUUUCAGGGUAUAACCUUGAGGGGUGUGUGUGUGUGCACGCACGUGUGUGUGGAUGUACGUGCGUAUACCACAGAAGUCAGAUAGGUGUGAUAUAACUAAGAGCAUUGGAACUAGUGGCCUAGGUCCAGGGCCUAGGGAUGCUUCAAACCUCUAGGAGAAGUUGUACAUUUGGGUUAGUGCUAAGUCUAACAAGAGCCAGGAGCUGUACAGUGUAGCAGUGUCUGAGAAGUAGUCUAGCUAGAUGGUUCCCUUGACCUGUGAAGAGUACACAAGGAAUUUAGAAGUUUCUGCUUGGCUUGGUGAUGGGGCUCAGAUGUGUUGAGAAGCUUUGUGGGCUAGCAGAGUUGGGGUUGAGAUAAAGAAAAGGCCAGGUAGGAGUAGAAAUUUUGCAACCACAAGCAAAUAACCAAUAGUCUGAACUUUAAUAGCACUAGAUAUGGGUAUGAUAUCCCAAAAGAUCUGAUGGGAUCAAUAACACCUCUGUGUGUACCAUUCUAGGGACCAGACAUGAGGGUGAUGAAUAAGGAACGUGCUGAAAAGAUUCAAGGGCCCUACUCCCCAGCUACCACAGACCGAUAUAACCCCCUCUCCAGGAUCCAAAUGCCAUUCCUGGGGUGGAUUAGAAGGAAGAGAAAGCCAAAAUCCUAAGCAUUUACCCUCAAGACAUCAAGAUACACGAAAGAGACUGGUGGUUGCCUUUUUGUGUCUGGUGUUGCUGUUCAGGACUGGUGGAAGCUGAAUUUUUGUCAGGAGCUCUGCUACCAUCACUUAUGAAGUGAGCUACUGGGCAUCAUUUAUUCCAGAGGGUUCCUCUGUGAAACAGCUGAAAACCACAUGCUCUCAGAUGUUCAUGACCUCCAGCUACAAACCCCAACAGGGGCGAGACGGUUGCAUGCAGUCUUCCUGUCCUCCACCCAUUGAGUAAAUUACUUCACUUACAAUGACAUUCUCCAGGGACAUCCAUGUUGCUGCAAAUGGCAUUAUGUUGUCAUUUUUAUUGCUGAAUAGUAUUCCAUUGUAUAAAUAUACCACAUCUUCUUUAUCCAGUCAUCUGUCAAUGGACAUUUAGGCUGUUUCCAUGUCUUGGCUAUUGUAAAUAGUGCUGCUAUGAACAUUGGGGUGCAGGCGUCUUUUUGAAGUAGGGUUCCUUCUGUAUUUUUGCCCAGGAUUGGGAUUACUGGGUCAUAUGUUAAAUCUAUUCCUAGUCUUUUGAGGAAUCUCCACAUCUCCAGAAUAUAUAGCAGCUCACAUGACUUAAUAAGAAAAAACCAAACAACCCAAUCCAAAAAUGGGCAGACUAAACAAGCAAUUCUCCAAUGAAGACACAUGAAUGAUCAAUAGGCACAUGAAAAAAUCCUCAGUAUCACUAAUUAUCAGAGAAAUGCAAAUCAAAACUACAAUGAGGCAUCACCUCACACCAGUUAGAAUGGCCAUCAUUCAAAAGUCCACAAAUGAUAAAUGCUGGAGAGGCUGUGGAGAAAAGGGAACCCUCCUACACUGCUGGUGGGAAUGCAGUUUGGUGCAGCCAUUAUGGAAAACAGUAUGGAGAGUUCUCAAAAGACUAGGAAUAGACUUACCAUAUGACCCAGUAAUCCCACUCCUGGGCAUAUAUCCAGGAGGUAAUUCUUAUUUCCCUCCUCCCAAUAACAUUAUAAAUCACCAUAUCACAAUGAGUCAUCAUCAGAUGACUCCAGAAGUCCCUUACUAAAUUGUAUGUGACAUUU